rnacentral:rRNA from 1 species
CCUUUGAUCCGCUAUGGUCCAUUGUUUAUCCGGGAACAGGAGAGGAUCCAAAAUCUGAACUACAUCUACAACUUCAAUGACGUCGAGGCUCUGUGGAUGCUUCGAAUGAAAAGAGCACCAUUUGCCAGGCUUGUCGAGACCUUCAGGAGCAGGGGGCUGCUACAAGAUAACAUCAACACCAGUGUGGAAGCGCAAGUGGCCAUGUUCCUCCAUGUUGUUGGCCAUAACCAGAGGUUCGUCAUUCACAACACGUUCAGGAGAUCAAUGAAGACCAUCUCUAGGUACUUCAAGCAGGUGCUUUUUGCUAUUGGGGAGCUUAGAGGAGAGAUGAUCAGGAGACCAUCUGGCCAGACUCCACCAAAGAUUCGCGGAAGCCCAAGAUGGUAUCCAUACUUCAAGGUGAGCAUUGACAAUAUACACUUUUCAUGGCUUGAUAUGCUUGUAUUGUUCAAGUUGAGCACUAACACAGGCUUGUGA